UUCGCAAUGCCCGAAAGGGUGACGAAGCGACGCCGCGUGUGGGAAGAAGGCCUUCGGGUUGUAAACCACUGUCAGGAGUUAAGAAAUGUAAGGAUGCGAAUAGCAUCCUUACUUGACUAAGGCUCCAGAGGAAGCCACGGCUAACUCUGUGCCAGCAGCCGCGGUAAUACAGAGGUGGCAAGCGUUGUUCGGAAUUAUUGGGCGUAAAGAGCACGUAGGCGGUUCUGCAAGUCGGCUGUGAAAGCCUUCCGCUCAACGGAAGAACAGCAGUUGAUACUACAGGACUAGAGUGCGGGAGGGGAGAGUGGAACUUCUGGUGGAGCGGUGAAAUGCGUAGAUAUCAGAAGGAACGCCGGCGGCGAAAGCGACUCUCUGGCCCGUAACUGACGCUGAGUGUGCGAAAGCUAGGGGAGCAAACGGGAUUAGAUACCCCGGUAGUCCUAGCCGUAAACGAUGGGCACUAAGUAGAG
rnacentral:rRNA from 1 species